UUACACUCCAGCGAUGGAUCC
rnacentral:siRNA from 1 species